rnacentral:rRNA from 1 species
ACGGAGGGGGCUAGCGUUGUUCGGAAUUACUGGGCGUAAAGCGCACGUAGGCGGCUUUGUAAGUUAGAGGUGAAAGCCCGGAGCUCAACUCCGGAACUGCCUUUAAGACUGCAUCGCUUGAACGUCGGAGAGGUAAGUGGAAUUCCCGGUGUAGUGGUGAAAUGCGUAGAUAUCGGGAGGAACACCAGUGGCGAAGGCGACUACCUGGCCUGUUCUUGACGCUGAGGCGCGAAAGCUAGGGGAGCAAACGGGA